GGAAAAGGAAGCAGAGUCAAAGGAGAUGCUGAGCACUGCUGGAGGAGCAAGAUGUGUUGGAACACAGGAGGAAGCAUGAUGCUGCUAGGAAGUCCAAGGCCUUGUUAUUCCCCCAGUGGAUGAGCUCACUGGAACCUCAUUGCUACCCUAAGAACUAUAAUUCCAUCUCACAGUGAGGAGAUCGGAUCAUAGAGAAGGGAAGCGCGAGGUCCACACUAAAUCGAUGCUUAAAGACCACAGGUAUUAAUGGCGAAUCGUGCAUAUCGUUUCAAGGCUUCAACUCCUCAGUCGAAAUCUCGUGCUGGCAUGCUAUGGGACCAAAUGGCUCUGGAGACCCAUAAGGAAAUAAUGAGCCUUUCAUCUGGAGGUCACUGGCUGGGAUCUGCUAUCGUUCAUUAAUGACGCAGCUGCGCUCAACCUCCUGUUGCAGGAACGGUGGCAGGGCUGUGCUGUGCAAGGGGAGCAGAAAUAUGUGUAAGAUCAUUUCAUUUAUGGGCAGGACCUAUGGCAAGUAUUUGAGAACAUGAGGUUUAUAACCAAUAAAACAAUGCUCUUAACUUAUUGACAGUAAGAUUUAGUGCUUGGCUCGGCAGAUCAAGACGGUCAGGGAGA